rnacentral:rRNA from 1 species
GACGAACGCUGGCGGCGUGCUUAACACAUGCAAGUCGAACGAAGUGGCGAACGGGUGAGUAAUACGUGGGUAACCUGCCCUCCUUUUUGGGAUAAGCCUUGGAAACGGGGUCUAAUACCGAAGAAAGGGGGAGGGGCGGGGGGCGUAUCAGGUUGUUGGGGGGGUGAUGGCCUACCAAGGCGGUGAGGGGUAGCCGGCCUGAGAGGGUGACCGGCCACAUUGGGACUGAGAUCCGGCCCAGACUGCUACGGGGGGCAGCAGUGGGGGAGAUUGGACAAUGGGCGAAAGCCUGAUGCAGCGACGCCGCGUGGGGGCUGAAGGCUUUCGGGUUGUAAACCUCUUUAGCUAUCGAACGGUUCUUUUCCCCCGAAGCGCCGGCUAACUACGUGCCAGCAGCCGCGGUACUUC